rnacentral:ribozyme from 1 species
UAAAUGGGUUAUUGUUGCCCAGGGCUGUCCGUGGUACCGGGAGAUUGGCACCCGAGAGGUCCCAAGCCUGCAUCAAUCGGCAGAAAUGCGUAAGACCGAUGGCAAGGUACAUCUUUGAGAGUCUUGUCGCACAGGGACGCGCCAAUCCGGAGAAUGGGGUGAAACUCCUCUGAAAUCUGGUGUUGCUUCAUUCCAUGGGAAGCCCAAACAAAGUGAAACACGCAUUUAGUUGGCGCAUUUGCGGUAUAUUAACUUUGA